rnacentral:rRNA from 1 species
CCUACGGGAGGCAGCAGUAAGGAAUAUUGGUCAAUGGACGGAAGUCUGAACCAGCCAUGCCGCGUGGAGGAUGAAGGUCCUCUGGAUUGUAAACUUCUUUUAUCUGGGAAGAAAUGCUUUUUUUCUAAAGAGCUUGACGGUACCAGAUGAAUAAGCACCGGCUAACUCCGUGCCAGCAGCCGCGGUAAU